GGGGAUCGAAAGACCUUAUGCUUUUGGAGCGGCCGAUGUCUGAUUAGCUAGUUGGUAGGGUAAUGGCUUACCAAGGCGACGAUCAGUAGUUGGUCUGAGAGGAUGGCCAGCCACACUGGGACUGAGACACGGCCCAGACUCCUACGGGAGGCAGCAGUGGGGAAUUUUGGACAAUGGGCGCAAGCCUGAUCCAGCAAUGCCGCGUGAGUGAAGAAGGCCUUCGGGUUGUAAAGCUCUUUCAGUUGAGARGAAAAGGUUGUGACUAAUAAUCACAAUUCAUGACRGUAUCAACAGAAGAAGCACCGGCUAACUACGUGCCAGCAGCCGCGGUAAUACGUAGGGUGCAAGCGUUAAUCGGAAUUAUUGGGCGNAAAAGGGUGCGCAGGCGGUUCUGUAAGUCAGAUGUGAAAUCCCCGGGCUUAACCUGGGAAUUGCGUUUGAAA
rnacentral:rRNA from 1 species